CCGUUGCCUUAGAGUUUAUCUUUCCAAUGUUCAAUUUGAGAUUCCACGAGCAUGCAAGUAGUGGAAAUAAAAUCAAUACACAGCUUUCUUGCCAGUGCACUGGUGCCUGGAAGGCACUCAGCCAGAGGAACACUGCAGUUUCCCACAGGAUGUUAGUUAUUAGGUGCUUCCUCAGGCUGUUACAGUUUUGAUGCCAGUUCUACAUUUCUGAUUUACACAAGACCAUGACAGAGCUGAGAGGCCUGGGCUUAGCCAUCCUGGUAGAAAGACCAGUUAAUUUGUGAUUAUUUAGCAUUUUUGAAGUUGCCUUUCUGUAAAAGCUGUUCAGGAGGUGGAUUACUCUAAACAGAGAAAGGCAAUCCUGCAAUGGAGCAUACAGUAGUCCAGUGCUAAGGGGAAGAGAACUUUAAAUCGUCUUUUUUUUUUCCAGUAACAAAACUGGAAAAUGGCAGGAAUGCCUUGGGAAAGAACAGGGAGCUGCUAGGGUAUUACCAGAAGGUUUCUGAAGGUAAAAAGUGAUACAGGGUGCCCAGAAAACAAGACUCUGAGAGGGUAGGUAUCCUUGGGAUAGGAUGGACCAAAGAGAAUGGAGUGAGAGAAGCCAAUUGAUGGAAAAGAGUGAGAGAAAAUUAAGGAAGUGUUCUGACAUUGUUCAGAGCCCACUGCUGCUAAGGUUAACAAACAGGCUCCAAAAAUGCAUGGAUUCAAUGUCAAUUGCAGAAAGUAUCACUGAAAUUCUCUUCUUUUUUUUUUUUAAGAUAAAGCAAAUGUUGUUGGACACUUGUAGAAUAAAGCUGCUUCCAAGGGACUACCAUGCUUUUAAAAAUGGGGGAAAACAACAACAACAAAACAAGGGAAGGAGAACCACCAACCUGUGCUUUGUGUCCCUGCCUCCAGCCUGGUCUUAAGAGUACUCACACCACUCACACCACUUCUGCAGUAACAGCCUUACAUAUUUCCACACUGCCUCCUAGAUUCCCAUUUUUCUUCCUCCCCACUGAUGUCCACUUGCAGACUCUGCUUCUCGUUCAUCUCAUCUCAGCCUCUCCUACUUCACCCCAGCCCACUUUCACGGCUCCCACCCAAGCUACUCCUCAAGCCUUUUGACUCUAAAUUUCUUAUUUGGGUUUCCUAACACUUAUAUACAGAUCUCUGCCAUAGGAUUUGAGAUCCAGUUGUUCCCUGCCUAUCCUCUCCCAGUUCCCACACUCAGAUAGGUGCACAUGUGCAUCUGUCCUUAUCUCCCUGAGCCACCUGGCUGUAGAUGAUCCUUGCCAGAUUUCCCACCAAAGCUCCUCCUCUAGCAGGACUUUUAAAAACCUAUAUGUGGGCUGUGCUUAAAUAAGACCACCCAGAGGGAACCCAGAGAGGAGAAACUGUUGGUGUGUUUAUGAAAAACUCGCCCUGGGAUAGUGCUACACAGGCAAUGCCUACCUCUAGAUAAAAUGCAGAAUGUGGAUUUUUCAAAGGUACUGUGUUCUUCAUAGCAAGGGCUGCCGAAUGGCUGUGAAAAACUAAAAAAAAAAUUAAUAAAAAAUAGGAAAAUGGUGUCUGUGGGUGCAUGUACGUACUGCCCAUGCAAUGCCCGUGAUGAGUUGUGCCUCGAUCGUAUGCACCAAGUGUGCUCCAAGGGGAAGUCACAGACAAUGGAGCCGUAUCUGGGGCAGUGUUUGGGAUAAAUGUCCCAAGUGAGAUAUACCAGCGGCAGGGCUUGUUGAAUACUGCUGAAUCAGGAGAUGAGCUGACCCACCAUGUCUUUUGAGGACAUUCCCAGGACACUACAUUGCCUCCAGCAAAUAAAAGAGCUUUUACAGCUCCUCUGGGAGACAGUGGCUUGGGAGAGGAGACCCCUGGCCUGCUGCCAAGCAACCCCUGGCAAAGCGCACCCAAUGAGAUCAUGAGGGCUAAUUCGGCAGAAUGAGGAACUAUUUCGACUGCCAGCCUCACUGCAGGCUCAAAGCACACUCUGAGAAAGUUUUAUUCAAGAACGGGUUUUAUUUGCAACAACGCAACCCCCGCUGUUCGCAGGCGGGGAGCAACAUGGCGGCGGCUCGCAGGGCCCGCUGGGAGCUGUAGUCCUGCGGGGGGCUGGGGCCGCUCCCUCGCCCCGCAGGGAAGGGGGGGUCAGGGUCCUCCUCAGCGUCUCCCGAAGAGGAGGAUUUCCUGCCUCAUCCCUUUCUGCACAGCGCUCUGGGGAACACCGAGGCUCAGGCUGUCCGGAUAAGAGGGGUGCCCGCGUCGGCAGGCGGGCCAGUGCCUGCCCACUGUUCUGUGCAGAGCUUUUCCUGACCCGGUGCGUCAGGAAAAACAAACAACUGGUGUAACCCCAGUUUUACCCCCGUUUGCUGUUACCAGGCAUCUAGUUAUACACCUGCAGCCCAAAAAGAAAGGUGACAGCACUCUAAAGACAUACCCAGUUACUCUGGCAAGAUGUAAUAUGCAUAGUUGCCGUUGUUUGCCCCCUCCCUGAUUUCCAUUAUUUUACCUGGGAUCGGUGUUAGGGUGGCAGGUGUGUAUUUACCUGGGUCACCUGAGCUGGCCCGGUGCUCAACCCGCACACGCUGGAGGGGAAAGCACGUCAGCUGAGGGCAGCAGAGACAAGUGGUGCUUCUAAGAACUUCAGUGUUAUUAUAUUUAUAAAUCCUGGUGAAACUUCAACUUACACUUGAGAGAGACGGAAAAGGCGAGCAGAAACUUUUCAGCGUUCUGAGGGUAUUUUGGCUUUAAGAGGCUCUCAUCACAUUGCCCAGAUUGGAAUCCCUUAAAACUGUAUAACUUGGUUCCUAAACUUUUAUUCAACAGCCAUCUUCUGAAUGUUCUCUUGUAUGUUCUGUUUGUUAGGAAACAAAAUUAUUUGUUUUGGCGUUGAUCAAGGCAAGAUGAUACAUUAUUUCUGGCAGAGUGAUAUUCUUCUUUUUUGCCCACUCAUUUUUCACAAGUAGUUUUAGUAUUAGGAUCAUGGAAAUUUUCCCAUUAAUGUUACAGGACACUCAGAGGAAAUAGAGGAUAUCUACAGUGAGCGGAGGAGGAGGCAGUUAAAAUCCAAGCACAGCUCAUGAGAAAGAGACAAUAAUUGUUCAAAGAAUAUUGUACUGCAUAACAAUCUUGCUGGAUUGCAGCACAGAGAACACAACUUCCGUGUGUGUGGCUGCACAUUUAAUGAAGCAAUAACCCAGUUGUUCUCUUUCUGAAGUUAAUAAAAAAAUAGCUUGAAAACCAACAUAAUGCUAUCCUUGAUUUUUUGAGGUGAUCCUCAAAAAGCUCAAAGCUCCUUUAAUAAGGAGAACAUACUUCUUCAGUAUCUCUGAACUAUAUAUAGAGUUAUAUAGAAAUACUAAACUAUUUGCUUAAUUUUAUUAAGGCAAACCUUGUUCAUUUCAAAUCUAAAGUUAGUCCCUAGUGUUUACACUCAUUUCUGCUGUUUACAUUGGCUUCAUAAACCUUCAGUAUAAACAGAGAAAAAGAAAUAAGAAUGUUUCCCAUGAAACAGUUCAAGAAAAUCCUGACAUCACUUAAAUAAAGCAUGCUUUCUGCUUCAACAUAAUUAAAUUGUGAGAUCUUAAAAAUAAAAACAAAGAGAAGAAAAAAACCCACCCCAAUUUACUGUAAAGCUACAGACAUCUCUGGGAUAAAAAAGGGCUACAUAUGAGGAGAUAAUCAUUACCUAUGAAGGACAUUCCUCCUGAUGUUCUUGUUUGGGUGUCUCUUUCAAACUCAGCGGUUUCAGCCAAAGCAAUUAUUGUUCCUAGGGACAAAACUAACAUUUGUUCUGCACAAGGAAAAAAAAUCAAAAUAAUCUUUGCUUAAGACCCUCAAGGAUUUCAGCAGGCUGGUGGCCUUAGUGUCACAGGUGUGCCUUCUGCCAUCCCUGCGAAGGUAAAACCAGAUUCUUGCAACUGGGCUACAUUUUUAACACCAAAUAAAAGAAGUCAAGGACUGCUUUUUGGCCAAGUGCCAAGACUUGGCCUGAUCCACUUUACAAAGCAAUUGCUUCCCUUCCAUGAACCUAAGACACAAUCAUUAGU